CGAAUGCUGACAUAAGUAACGAUAAAGCGGGUGAAAAGCCCGCUCGCCGGAAGACCAAGGGUUCCUGUCCAACGUUAAUCGGGGCAGGGUGAGUCGACCCCUAAGGCGAGGCCGAAAGGCGUAGUCGAUGGGAAACAGGUUAAUAUUCCUGUACUUGGUGUUACUGCGAAGGGGGGACGGAGAAGGCUAUGUUGGCCGGGCGACGGUUGUCCCGGUUUAAGCGUGUAGGCUGGUUUUCCAGGCAAAUCCGGAAAAUCAAGGCUGAGGCGUGAUGACGAGGCACUACGGUGCUGAAGCAACAAAUGCCCUGCUUCCAGGAA
rnacentral:rRNA from 1 species